rnacentral:rRNA from 1 species
UACGUAGGGUGCAAGCGUUGUCCGGAAUUAUUGGGCGUAAAGAGCUCGUAGGCGGUUUGUCACGUCGGAUGUGAAACCCUGAGGCUCAACCUCAGGCCUGCAUUCGAUACGGGCAGACUAGAAUUCGGCAGGGGAGACUGGAAUUCCUGGUGUAGCGGUGAAAUGCGCAGAUAUCAGGAGGAACACCGGUGGCGAAGGCGGAUCUCUGGGCCGAUACUGACGCUGAGGAGCGAAAGCGUGGGGAGCGAACAGG